rnacentral:rRNA from 1 species
UACGUAGGGUGCAAGCGUUGUCCGGAAUUAUUGGGCGUAAAGAGCUCGUAGGCGGUUUGUCGCGUCUGGCUGUGAAAACUCGGGGCUUAACCCCGGGCCUGCAGUGGGUACGGGCAGACUAGAGUGCGGUAGGGGAGACUGGAAUUCCGUGGUGUAGCGGUGAAAUGCGCAGAUAUCAGGAGGAACACCGGUGGCGAAGGCGGGUCUCUGGGCCGUAACUGACGCUGAGGAGCGAAAGCGUGGGGAGCGAACAGG